rnacentral:rRNA from 1 species
GAUGAACGCUGGCGGCGUGCCUAACACAUGCAAGUCGAGCGAUUCUCUUCGGAGAAGAGCGGCGGACGGGUGAGUAACGCGUGGGUAACCUGCCCUGUACACACGGAUAACAUACCGAAAGGUAUGCUAAUACGAGAUAAUAUACUUUUAUCGCAUGGUAGAAGUAUCAAAGCUUUUGCGGUACAGGAUGGACCCGCGUCUGAUUAGCUAGUUGGUAAGGUAACGGCUUACCAAGGCGACGAUCAGUAGCCGACCUGAGAGGGUGAUCGGCCACAUUGGAACUGAGACACGGUCCAAACUCCUACGGGAGGCAGCAGUGGGAAUAUUGCACAAUGGGCGAAAGCCUGAUGCAGCAACGCCGCGUGAGCGAUGAAGGCCUGGUCGUAAAG